GGUUGGUGAUGAGCAGUAAAAGGUCUGAUUUCCCACAAUCCCCCGCUGCCACGCGGCUCCCAGCGGCUCCUGCCCGCGUCCAUCCUGUUGAAGAGGAGGAGCAGCGAUGGCGUCAGGAGCCGCUGACAGGAGGGAUGCGGCCUCGCCCGGCCUGUAGCGAGCCUCCUACAGGCUGCUGGUCCACAUCCGACAGAAGCAGCCAGGGUGGAGCGUCGGGCUGACGGGUGGAGCAGGGAGCUGAUCUCAAGUUUUCAAGCUGAGACC
ensembl:snoRNA